GAGUAUCUUCUGAGUUUGACGGCGCUGAGACGGCAAUCCGAACUUGCCAUGCUUCGUCCACAGAGCCUUACACGGGUGUUAACAAAAUGCAGGCGAUCAAGUUCGUUGCCGUUAAGGACGUUCUCUUCAAGAUCGGUAGUUUUCUCAAGGGGCAUUAGAUCUUCCACAGAGCAGAUUACAAGAUGAGGUGCUUUAUAUUUUUAUCAAACCUACAUUACUGGUACUUGUGAUGUCUCGCACAUCAUCAAAUUUAAUAAUACCACGUACUUUUGAUUCCGAUAAAAUGCAAACUGAGGGGGUGUUCUCAAAUUUCAAAAGGAAGUAAUCUUUUAAGAAUAUCAGAGAGCAAUGUAUUCAACAGAUAUUACAGCUCCGAAGAUUUACCUAGCCAUGUUAAAGUAGUGCUCCCUGCCCUGUCUCCCACUAUGGAGACAGGGACGAUCAGUAAAUGGCAGAAGAAGGUGGGGGACAAGGUGUCAGAGGGGGACCUGCUGGCUGAUAUAGAAACAGACAAGGCCACAAUGGGGUUCGAGGCAUCUGAGGAGGGAUACAUUGCCAGGAUCUUUGUAGAGGAAGGAACUAAGGAUAUUCCUAUUGGAAAGCUACUGUGCAUAAUAGUGGAAGAGGAAGGUGACGUCGAGGCCUUCAAGGACUACGUACCAAAACCAGAAGAUGACCAGCCACCAGGUGGCCUUCCAGAGGCUUCUAAACCUGCCCCCACACCACCCCCUCCUCCAAAGGCAGCACCCCCUCCACAACCCCCCAAGGCAGCAACCCCACCUCCUCCCCCUACCACCCCCCAACCACCAGCCCCGGUGGCAGCUUCUGCACAACCUGUGUCAGGGGGUGGCAUUCCAGCGACACCAUUUGCUAAAACACUGGCCGCUGAGCGAGGGGUGGAUCUUGCUAUGGUUACAGGAACUGGUCCAAAUGGAGUCAUUCAGGCGGACGAUGUCCUGCGAUUCCAAGCACCUGCCGUACCCUCUGUUGUAGUCACACCUGGGGCAGAGUACACAGACAUUGAACUCACCGGCAUGAGAAAGACAAUAGCCAAGCGGUUGUUGGAAUCUAAACAAACUAUUCCUCACUAUUACCUCACAAUAGAUGUCAACAUGGAAAAUGUCAUACAAUUAAGAAAAGAACUAAAUGAGGUUCUUUCGGGAGAUAAAAUUAAGCUCUCUGUAAAUGACUUUAUAAUCAAAGCCUCGGCACUGGCAUGUAAGAAAGUACCGGAGGCAAACUCCGCCUGGCAAGGGGAUUUCAUCAGGCAAUAUAACUCUGUGGACGUCAAUGUUGCCGUAGCUACUGAUGCUGGCCUAAUUACCCCAAUAGUUAGCAGAGCUGAUAUAAAAGGACUUUCCAAUAUCAAUCAGGAUGUCUUAUUAUUAGCUGCUAAAGCAAAAGAGGGAAGGUUACAGCCACAUGAAUUUCAGGGUGGAACCUUCACAAUCUCUAACCUAGGAAUGUUUGGCAUUAAAUCUUUUUCGGCAGUCAUCAAUCCUCCACAGGCAUGCAUUUUGGCUGUUGGUGGAGCAGAAAAGAGACUCAUUGUUGAUGAAGACAGCAAUACAGGGUACCGCGCGGCCAGCAUGAUGUCGGUAACCCUCAGCUGUGACCACCGCGUGGUAGAUGGUGCAGUUGGAGCUCAGUGGCUCGCAGAGUUUAAGAAAUUCAUGGAGAAACCAGAAACCAUGCUGUUAUAGCUGCCAUUAGUGGGAGGAGGGCUGGAAGAAUCAUUGUAGUGCUGGGGCCCCCUACAUCUAGGAGGCCUUAAUACUCUAACAAAUUUUCCUGGUGACAGAGAUUUAACAUGCUGUACACAAUCUGUGAAGGAAUCUCAGAUGAAAUGAAAAUGUUGUUGAAUUAUGUUAAGAGUUUUUUGUUUUUUUUUAAAUCAAGUGCUGUUGGAGACCUAUAUAUACAUUUACGUGUAUUUAUUUCAUUUUUGUGUCUAAAGAUGAAUAUACAAAGUUGAGUUAUGGUCAAGCCAUAUAGUAUUUACUCUGCAUUGUUUUUAUGUAAAAUUCAUGGAUAAGUAGAAAUUAAUAAAUGUACAAAAUUGU
rnacentral:misc_RNA from 1 species